rnacentral:rRNA from 1 species
GUGUCAGCAGCCGCGGUAAUACGUAGGGACCGAGCGUUGUCCGGAUUCAUUGGGCGUAAAGAGCUCGUAGGCGGCUGUUCAAGUCGAACGUGAAAACUCGGAGCUCAACUCCGAGCCUGCGUUCGAUACUGGAUGGCUAGAGUCUGGUAGGGGGAUCUGGAAUUCCUGGUGUAGCGGUGGAAUGCGCAGAUAUCAGGAGGAACACCGGUGGCGAAGGCGGGAUCCUGGGCCAGUACUGACGCUGAGGAGCGAAAGCGUGGGGAGCAAACAGGAUUAGAAACCCUCGUAGUCC